rnacentral:rRNA from 1 species
CUAAGCAUAUCAACUCMAGCGGAGGAAAWGAAACCAACAGGGAUUGCCUUAGUAACGGCGAGUGAAGCGGCAACAGCUCAAAUUUGAAAGCUGGCCCUUUUAGGGUCCGCGUUGUAAUUUGUAGAGGAUGAUUCGGCGAGGGCUCCUGCCUAAGUCCCCUGGAACGGGGCGUCAUAGAGGGUGAGAAUCCCGUAUGCGGUAGGUUGCCUUAGCCAUGUGAAUCUCCUUCGACGAGUCGAGUUUUUUGGGAAUGAAGCUCUAAAUGGGAGGUAAAUUUCUUCUAAAGCUAAAUAUUGGCCAGAGACCGAUAGCGCACAAGUAGAGUGAUCGAAAGAUGAAAAGCACUUUGGAAAGAGAGUUAAAAAGUACGUGAAAUUGUUGAAAGGGAAGCGCUUGCAACCAGACUUGUCCGCAGUUGCUCAGCCGGUCUCCUGACCGGCGUACUCUUCUGCGGCCAGGCCAGCAUCAGUUCGGGCGGUCGGAUAAAGGCCUCGGGAAUGUAGCUCCUCUCGGGGAGUGUUAUAGCCCGGGGCGGAAUGCGGCCAGCCUGGACUGAGGAUCUCGCUUCGGCAAGGAUGCUGGCGUAAUGGUUGUAAGCGGCCCGUCUUGAAACACGGACCAAGGAGUCUAACAUCUAUGCGAGUGUUCGGGUGUCAAACCCGUACGCGUAAUGAAAGUGAACGGAGGUGGGAACCCGCAAGGGUGCACCAUCGGCCGAUCCUGAUGUCUUCGGAUGGAUUUGAGCAAGAGCAUAGCUGUUGGGACCCGAAAGAUGGUGAACUAUGCCUGAAUAGGGUGAAGCCAGAGGAAACUCUGGUGGAGGCUCGCAGCGGUUCUGACGUGCAAAUCGAUCGUCAAAUUUGGGUAUAGGGGCGAAAGACUAAUCGAACCAUGCUAGUUMGACUGGUUCCUGCCGAGCUU